rnacentral:lncRNA from 1 species
UAAAUUUAACUUAUGAUGGAUUACAUUGAUUGAUUUCAAAUGUUGAACCAGCCUUACAUACCUGGAAUAAACCCCACCUGGUUAUGGUGUAGAAUUCUUUGUAUACAUUGCUGGAUUCAAUUUGUUAAUAUUUUGUUGAGAAUAUCUGCUUCUAAAUUGAUGAGUGAUAUAAAUCAUUGUAUUGUCUUUUGUAGGCUUGUUAUAAGGGUAAUACUGACCUCAUAAAAUUAGUAGGGAAGUGUUUUGCUUCUUCUAUUUCUGUAGGAGAAUGUGUAAAAUUGGUGUUAAUUCUUCUUUAAAUUUAUGGUAGAAAUCUUCAAUACAACUAUCCAGACUUGGAGAUCUCUUUUUGUGGAAACUUUUAUUUACAAAUUCAAUUUCUUUGAAGAUUACAGAACUGCCCAGAUUGUCUGUUUUAUCUUGAUUGAGGUUUGGUAGUUUUAGGUUUUCAAGGACUUUUUUCUUUUCUUUUCAGUUGUUGACUGUGUGAGUUUAAAGUUAUACAUCAUAUCCUUUAUUUUUCUUCUAAUGGCCAAAGGAUUCAUAGUGAUUUCCUUUUUUUCAUUUCUAAUUUUUAUGUGUCUUUUUUUUUGGCCAGUGUUACUAGAGGUUUAUGCAUUUUACUGAUUUUCUUUCAAACAGACAGUGUUUUGCCUCAUUCAUUUUUUUCUAUUUUUGUAAAUGAAUGCAGGUCCAGCUGUUUGCUGCUUGCGAAGUCUUAAGAAUGAGUGAGGUCUGGUAAAAGGAAAGUGACUUCAUUAACAAAAACUAGCAGUAGGGAAGUGGCUGGAUUCAUAUCCAAAGGAAUCACAUUGAACUUGUAGGGAGAAGGCUAGGGUUUAUAAAGAGAAACUUCGUAUGGGACACAUGCAGUUGUGUUGAGUGCAAGGUGUGUGUGUCCUUUUUCACUGGCUAUCUUGGAUCUCUGUCUACCUGGAGUGUGGGCUGACAUCAUCUGAACAAUGGCUGGGUUGGUGACUAGCUGCCUUGAGGUAAUCUCUGGAAUUCUGCUCGGUCUCUAGGCUCGGUCUAUCUGUCUCAAGGUUAGCCCUUGAACUCCUAAAAUCCACCUGGAAGUGAUGAUUCCCCUGGAAGUCAUCCAAUAUUAAAUGCGUUGCUUCCCACCUUUACAUUAACACAGAAAAGUCACUCGCUGAAAUUUCCAGCAUCCUCAGAGCUUCAAGAGAGAGUCUGUGGCUCUGGAUACAUUCUAAAGAGAUCUGUGACCUGAAAGAGGUUGAGAAGUUAUAAAGAAACAUGUGAAUUAAAAUGGAAGAAAGGGACAAUUGGAAGCAUAUCUGAGGUUCAUCUAAGAAAAAUGAAAAUUUAUGUCCAUACAAAGAUGAGUAGAUAAAUGUAAUAGCCAAAACAUGGAAAAAACAUGCCCAUCAAAGGAAGGUAGACAAAUUACGAUAUAUUCACACAGACUUCUCAGGAACGAAGAGAAACAAACUACUGACACACUGACAUAGAUGAAUCUCACAGACUGCUGGUCAAAAGAAGCAUAUGAAGCUCAAGAACAGGCAAAACUAAUAUGGGGUAAAAAUAAUUAGAACAGUGAUUGCCUUGUGAGAUUGAGGGAUUGAGUAGAAAGGAAUAGGAGAAAACUUUCUAUAAAGAAUGUAAAUGUUCCAAAUUGUGAGGAGUUUAAGUUACACAGGUAUAUGUGCGUGUCAAAAUUUUAUGGCUAAGGUUUGCAUAUAUAUACAUUUUACCUAAAGUAAAAAAAAAACUGUAAUAAUGAUAAUAAAAAUAACCCAUUGAGUGAAGAGAUGGGGGUGGGAGAAGGUAUAGAUGGAACAAGAGAGGCAAAAUGUUAAUUGUUGAAGAUGAGUGAUGGAUAUAUAAGGAUUUAUUAUACAAUUUUGUUUGAUUUCUCUAGUGAUAGGAUUGGGAUGUGCGUUCCCUCUAAAUCUCAUAUUGAAAUGUAUCCCUAGUGUUGGAGAUGGG